rnacentral:lncRNA from 1 species
GGUGCUGUUUUCAUCUAUAGUGACCUUUUUGUGAGUGACUUUACCCCUUUGUCCCUUGCCUUUACCCCCCCCAACUGAAGUCCCCCCCCCCCGAAAGCUUCUUUUAAACCCCUAAAAAGGGGGCUUUUCUCCUCCCUAAAAAAAGAAGAAAAGCUCAACAACUCUGGGCUGAACCCCCCAAAACGGGGGUAGAUCACUGCCAGUUUUUUUAAUUCUGAAAGUAGAUUGCAGUCUCUUGAGAGUUGGCCACCCCUGCUUUGUAAAUGGCAUGUGCCUCCAAAUGCAUGUCGAAGUACAAAUGGUCUGUCUGCACUCAGCAUUGAGUGCUGAGACAAUCUGUACUGAAAUUAUUAUGUGGCUGCCUCUUCAGAUAUGCAAUGCGAAACCUGUCUGCAUGCACUACAUUCCUUUCAAGAUCACAAUUAAUGGCUUAGCUACUCUUUCUCUUGUCCUGCUGCUUUGAACCGCGGAAAACCACUCUUUAGUGCUCAACUGGAGCAAAUGGUAAUUUGGGUUUCCCUUGGACUGCAAUUUGUUCCAAUCUAUCGUUAAAAAGUGUGUUUCCCCUAGGAAAGCAGUGGGGCAAGGGCAAAACUGCUUGGACCUGGGCCUAGAUCGCGUGGACCAAGCAGAAAACUGCUUGGUUCCAUGAUUCCUAGGCAUGGCACAAGCGGAAUUGUGGAAAAGCUCAAAGGUCAGCUUUCAUGAGAUGCCGGUUGAGAUUUGCAUCCCCAUAUAAACUGUGAACCAUGGCCUCAAUACAGGUGCUUUUUUGACACAAUAUAGAAAGAAGUGCAAUAUAAUGUAAAAACUAAAUAAACAAGCACUGCUGCUUAUUGUUAGAAGAAAUGGCAAUCACUAUUUUUUUCUCUUUUGGUUCCUAUUAGAAUAAUCCAACAAGGGCAAAAUGCUUUCAAAAAUGAACAAGGGUUCCCCUCACUCGCCAUUUAAAAUUUGCUCCAUCAAUUGAUAAUCAAUAUAUUGAUUACAUUUGCACGCUUACUUGGGAAUAAGCUGCAUUGAAGCCAGAGGGAUUUGCUGAGUUUAGGAUUGGGUGUGUUGUAUAGAUUAUAUUGUAAGCACACAUUUUUGGAAGCAAGGCUCAUGGAAACCAAUGUGACUUUCUGUGUGUGGAUGAAUAUACUUUGGACUGGAUGUGAAGCUUGCAGUCCUAAAUAAAAAUGUAAGUUACCUAUACCUUGAAACAUCUAUUAAAACUGCAAGCAAUGGGCAAUAAUUUUUUGCAAGAGUUCCUGGUAAUUGAAGUCCAUUUCCAUUCAUUUUGAUAGUUCUCAGUACGUGUGGUGAAGAUUCUGAUGUGGAGGCGCUUUGACAUCUUCCCCAUAUGUAGUUGGAGAACUCUUACAAGAAAGGAGAUUCCAACUAAACAUCAAUAAGAACUUUCUGACAGUAAGAGCUGUUUGACAAUGGAAUGUUUUCCCCUGGGAGGUUGUGGACUCACCUUCCUUGGAGAUUUUUAAGCAGAGGUUGGAUGGACAUCUGUCAUGGGUGCUUUAGCUGAGAUUCCUGCAUUGUAGGGGGUUGGACUAGAUGUUCCUUCCAACUCUACAAUUCUAUGAUUCUAGGAAUCUAUGGUGCUGCAAAACCCGUUUCCUUCUCAGAAAAACCUGAAAACCCCUUUUCUAGCCCUAAUCUCCGCUCCAAUUCCUUAUCUAGUGACACUUGUGGCUCCUUUUGCUGGCAUCCCAGGGCAAUUUCGUUUUCUCUUUAAAGGCAAGGGAGAGGGGUCUGCAGUACAAAUGCAGUUAAAAGGGUUACCAAGAAAAGCAAACAAAAACAACAUGCAAAUGAGGCUGCAGGCAACAGGUAGUCUUAAUCAGACGCUGUCAGAUGAAUUCAGCAUCUCCGUGAUUGUCGCCUGCGUUAGGCUCCCUUUCGGAAGCCCUCAUCUGCUCCAGAUGUGGUUUAAUUUACUGCGACUUGGCUAAUUACUGUAAUUAAGGAUUAAUUACUGUUAAUUACUUUCACAUAAACUCAACGCCAGUCAAAGAGCGGAGCCUUAUGAAGCCUGCCACAUAAGUGAACACAAGCGCACCAGGCUGGGUGGGCCUGGCAGGUCGCUCUUUAUUUGCCUGGAUGGUUGCGGCGACGCAGCAUACCACUGCCAGCCUGCCAUCACCUUGCUUUUCAGGGGCCGGAAGAAGGAGCCCCUCAGUCCUGCGACCUCAGCAUUUAAGCACAGCCCCCUCCCCUUCCCCAGCCCCACAAGCCGUGCGGCCGCAGGAGAAGAGCCAUGGAAACAGUCCAAACAGCAGAAGAAGUGGCAGGCGUUUAGAACCCAGUCCCAGAUAUACUCCCCCCCCCCCAAACGAUGCAAGGCAAAUAGCAACAUGUCUUGGCCAACACGGCAGACUCUUAAACACGCUGCCAAGGAACUGAGUAAGGGACACUUGGGCCUCGGGCUUUCUUCUUUUGCGUAGCAAUGAACUUGGGGCUGUGCCUUUAACAGGGAUCCAAAGCCAGCUCUUUGUAAUAAGGGUAGCUGUAGGAUACAUUUGUUUUCAAGCAUGUUUUUGUUAUGUUUGCAUAUACACAAAUGUAUACCCAAAAUGGCGUAUAGAGACUUUAAGCAAAUUUUUUUCCGUAGGAGGGCAGUAGCCCUAUUCAGGCAUUAUGAAAAAACAACACAUGGGGUGGGGGGUGGGGCUACAGGGAUGGGCACACUGGUGCCACCCCCAUCACCUCUCCGCAAGUUGGAGAGUGACUGCCAUAAGUGGGGAGCCUGCUUCUACUCAUGAAGGCUGCGAACUAAGGGCUGCAAGGUGGAGAGCUGGUGUGGUCAGAUCUUCAGUGCCCCCGCCCCCAGCAAUAUACAGUGGUACCUCGGGAUGCGAACGGGAUCCGUUCCGGAGCCCCGUUCGCAUCCUGAAUAGAAUGCAAGACGUGACAGCGCGUCUGCGCAUGUACGGGUUGCGUUUCGCCACUUCCGCGCAUGCAUGUGAUGUCAUUUUGACCGUCUGUGCAUGCGCGAGCGGCAGAACCCGGAAGUAACGCAUUCCGUUACUUCCAGGUCGCCACGGAGUGCAACCCGAAAAUACUUAUCCUGAAGCAUAUUUAUCCUGAGGUAUGACUGUACAGUGGUACCUCUGGUUACAAACUUAAUUAGUUCCAGAGGUCCAUUCUUAACCCGAAACCGUUCUUAUCCUGAGGCACGCUUUCGCUAAUGGCGCCUCCCACUGCGCGAGUGUCUCCUGCAUGCAAUUUCCGUUCACAUCCCGGGGCAAAGUUCGCUACCAGGAGACCUACUUCCAGGUUAGCAGAGUUCGCUACCCGAAGCGCUUGUAACCAGAAGCGUUUGUAACCAGGGGUACCACUGCAUGUCUUUUGUCUGAUUUCCAGACUGCCUGCAAAAGGCAAGUGUCUCUCUGUCAUCACAAGGAUACAUUUUAACAUUCUAACAAAUGAACCAGUUCCGGCCUCUUGUUUAUUUCUCCAGGCCUCCCUCUCUCUCGCUUCCACAUUUGUUCUUCAUUGCUGUGGAUUUUUCUUCUUCUUGCAAAUGAUGCUCUGUAGCAAAGAGGAAGCAAGCUGCUGAGCAGUGAAAUGUGUGAGAUCGCCUGCAAAUGCAUUCUUUCCUUCCAAAGUGACACAUCCACAGCCUGCUUUCCUCAGUAAGCAACAACACCAG